GCUGCGCCCCGACUUGAGUGGAGCUCUCCGCCGUUCGACGGGGGAAGCGGGAACGGAAGGCGGAUGAAGGC
rnacentral:misc_RNA from 1 species